rnacentral:lncRNA from 1 species
GCCAGUGACACAGAUAUGGUUCCAUGUACUGCUCAUUUGUGCAGUGUGUCUUCGAUCUGGCUUGGACAGAUGUUCGUGGUGCUGACAGAUGGAAACUUUGCGAAAAAUCCUGGAUUCAACAACGAUUCGACACUUCUACACAUGGCCGCAUCCCUAAACUCGGAAAACGUAACGGUGUUCUUCUUCAGCUUAGGGGUAAACAUGACUCCAGAUCCACUUCUCGAGCUCCGGAGUUUAUCU